GAAAUGGGCAAUGUGAUGCACCGAGGAGCUUGGCUUUGGGAGCAUAGCAAAAAAGGUGAUGAGGAAGCAGGGUAUACAGAAAUAUUUUUUAUGGAACUUAGGAGUGUUUUUUCUAAAGAAUGGAAAUACUUUAAAUUAGAAGCAGUCUUUCAGUAAUGUCUCAUUAAGGAAGACUGAAGCUUAGGACCCAGAGGCACAUGGGAGAAGUGAGUCUAGCACCAGAAAAAACAGGUAAACACAAAGAAGUUUCACAUGGCAAUUUCAAUUGUCUUAUGAAUGAGGUUUUUUCUGUAUUAAUUAAUUAUUUGAACAAUUA